GGAUUCUGGGUAAAAGCAAAACUGAAACUGCACCUGAGAACAAGGAUGAUGGUGAGUCUGAUGAUGAUAAUGAGGAGGAGGAGGGAGAUGAUGAGGAUGCUGAAAACCAAGAGGAAGAUGAUGGUGGCGAAGAAGGAUCAGAUGAUGACGGAAACGAGGAGGAGGAGGAGGAGGAGGAGGAUCCUGCAGCCAAUGGUGAAGGAGGGAGUGAUGAUGAUGACGACGGUGGAGAUGAUGAAGAAGAGGACGGCGAUGAUGAUGGGGAUGAUGACAAUGAGGAGGAGGAAGAAGAAGAGGAAGAGGAGGAGGAGGAGGAUGACGACGAUGUCCCCCAACCACCUACCAAGAAGAGAAAAUGAUCAAUGGCUUAGAGCGGGUACCUUGUGUGCAGGAAAUGCAGCCUUGUUCGUCACUGCAUAGCAGCCUACUGGUUAGUGAGUAGGGGUUUUUAGCUUGCUCGUUGUCACGGACGAU
rnacentral:lncRNA from 1 species